UGUUGUUUGAUGGGAUCGAGCCCCGUUCACCGGAUUUUGAUGGGAUCGAGUCCCUGUUCCAGGAGCGGAUCUUGCUCCGGCUCCCGCCCCCUUUUCCUUCCCAUUUCCGCCGGGGAGAAGUGAAAGGAAUAAAGUAGCGGCCGGAGCCCGGAGCAGGUCAGAGCCGUAACUUCUCCCAGGAACCGGGGGGAGAUCCCAGCGCCGGGAACCGCGGUGGGAGAUCCCACGCCAGUGUUUGAUAAAAGACUGCAGGAUCCGCAAAAAGUUUGAUGCAAGUGGGAUUCUGACACUGGAUCUCUCCACUAGCACCUGUUUUAAGCCAUCUUCCAUGCAGAGGAUGUGCUGGGAGAGGGCGUUGCAUCACUGCCUUUCACAGACACUUGAAUCUUGAUACAGCCAUGGCUGGAGGAGUGCACCAGUGCUCCACUACUCUAUGGUCACAAGAUACAAUAAAAAUACUUCUUCCAGUU